CGGCCGCGUCGACCUGAAACAUCUCAGUACCCGGAGGAAAGGACAUCAACCGAGACUCCCGUAGUAGUGGCGAGCGAACCGGGACCAGGCCAGUGCUUCCGUGACAUAAAGGCGAACGACCUGGAAAGGUCGGCCAUAGCGGGUGACAGCCCCGUAGCCGUCAAACAGCAGAAGACUCGAGUAGGGCGGGACACGUGAAAUCCUGUCUGAACAUGGGGGGACCACCCUCCAAGCCUAAGCACUCCUCUACGACCGAUAGUGAACAAGUACCGUGAGGGAAAGGUGAAAAGCACCCCGACAAGGGGAGUGAAACAGAUCCUGAAAUCGGAAGCCUACAAGCAGUCGGAGCCGCCAAGCGCGGUGACGGCGUACCUUUUGUAUAAUGGGUCAGCGACUUCAU
rnacentral:rRNA from 1 species